rnacentral:misc_RNA from 1 species
GAACAGAAUAGAACAGAAUAGAACAGAAUAGAACAGAAUAGAACAGAAUAGAACAGAAUAGAACAGAAUAGAACAGAAACAGAACAGAACAGAAUAGAACAGAAUAUAACAGAAUAGAACAGAAUAUAACAGAAUAGAACAGAAUAGAACAGAAUAGAACAGAAUAGAACAGAAUAGAACAGAAUAGAACAGAAUAGAACAGAAUAGAACAGAAUAGAACAGAAUAGAACA